rnacentral:rRNA from 1 species
AUAGGUCAGAGGUGUAAGUGCAGCAAUGUAUUUAGCUGACUGAUACUAAUAGAUCGAAGGCUUGAUCAAAUUAUUUACU